rnacentral:lncRNA from 1 species
AGGCCUCUUCAGUGGUUUCUUUGGCACUUCUUAAAUGAUGUCAGGGUUCCAGGAGUUAAUGUUCCAAGAGACAGGAAGUGGAUGCUGCCCAUCUCUUUUUUUUUGUUUGUUUGUUUGUUUGUUUUUUUGAGAUGGAGUCUUACUCUGUCACCCAGGCUGGAGUACAGUGGUGCGAUCUUGGCUCACUGCAACCUCCGCCUUCCAGGUUCAGGCAAUUCUCCUACCUCAGCCUCCCAAGCAGCUAGGAUUACAGGCACGUGCCACCAUGCCCAGCUAAUUUUUGUAUUUUUAGUAGAGACGGGGUUUCACCAUGUUGACCAGGCUGGUCCCGAACUCCUGAGCUCAGGUGAUCCACCGGCCUUGGCCUCCCAAAGUGCUGGGAUUACAGGCGUGAGCCACUGUGCCUGGCUGAAGCUGCCCAUCUCUUGAGGCCUAGGACUGCAGACAGGCACUUCUGCUGUCAUCUCCUGGAGUCUGCUGCCGUCACAGGUCUGGUAAAGGACGCGGCCAGGCCUGCGUACUGGGUGCCUGACCACGAAAUCCUCCACUGCCACAACUGCCGGAAGGAGUUCAGCAUCAAGCUCUCCAAGCACCACUGCCGGGCCUGCGGACAGGGCUUCUGUGAUGAGUGCUCCCAUGACCGCCGGGCUGUUCCUUCUCGUGGCUGGGACCAUCCCGUCCGAGUCUGCUUCAACUGCAAUAAAAAGCCCGGUGACCUUUAACCCCAGCCCCCUCUCCGAGUCCUUCACAAUUCCUUAGGUUCUCAGGGUUAGAAACAGUCUUGCGAGGUAGGCCCUCCUCCCAGUCACCUGCUGUGGUGUGUGUCCUCUCCUCUCCGCAUCCAGGGCCACUUUCCCUCAGUGGGGGUGAGCCUGGCGGCAGGCCCGAAGGUGUGGACCCCUCAGGGCAGGGGACCUUGCAACUUAUCGCAAAGGGGAAUGAACCUGAAUCCGUUGCAUUUAUUUCAGUUAAAAAUAAUGAAUAUAUAUGUGUAUAUCUCUCUCUCAUAUAUACAUAUGAAAGGCACUCGGGGCGUAUCGAGGCUGCUGCUGGCUGUGAAGACUUCGCACAGUCUCCUCCGCACAGGGUGAGGUGGCAGUGGCAGCACGUCUUCCUCAUGAGCCGAGCCAGGUCCAUGGCCACCACGUGGCUGGCCCCUUCCUCUGCUGCUCUUGGAGCCUUGGAAGCCUCUCCUGUCCUUGGCUCUUCCCUCCAUGCCUGUCAGCUGCCUGGGGAGUGAGCCUCCCUGGUCCUUCCUGCCUGAAACAGCCUGAAGGGAAUUCUCCCUAGGUCUCCUGGGAGUCGAGUCCCAAUUCUUGGCUUAAGCCUGUUUUAGUCAGAGACCACCCAACUUAGCGUGCAGGUCACCGGAGUGGGUGGAGGGUCAGAGGUCGGGUCUUCGGCCCUGAGAAGUAGAAAUGCAGGGGCCGUGCUGUCCCUGGUCCCCCAGGGAACAGCAAGGAAGGAACUGAGCCUUCUCCAGCAGGGCUUCCUGUCCCGAUGCUUCUGUCUCCACUCGGCUUUCCCAAAAGGCGGCACCCAGCUCCUCAAUCGAAGCAUCUGCCUCCCACCCCUCGGCCCCCUCAAGCCCACCAUCUGCUUCUGAGUGUCGCACUAGGAUUUUCAUUGCUUAUUUUAAAGUGUCUUAAUCCUUUGUUCCCAGACACACAACCCCUCUAGCUCUCGGAGGGGCGAUCAUGAGAAACCUUCCAGGGAAACUGAGCACAGGAUGAACUGUUAGUUGUUUUUAAAAGUCUAUAUAAAUAUUUCAACAGAUCGUAAAGAAAAAAUUUAUCUCUUUGGUCCUUGCAAGAGAAGUCAAAGGAACUUUUGUUUCUCCUCAAGAGCCUGGACAUCUCUGUCUGUCAUGACUGGAAAGGGCCCGUUGUGCUGAAAUCCUAUCAUCAUGGUGGAUUUGAUCUUCAGUGGCCAAACACGAAUUAAAGUAUAAUUCUUAACUGAACUGGUGGGUGGGUUGAGCUUUAGGGAAGUAUAUGGCGGUCAUUCCUGGUGCGCCUAUCGGUGUGACAUGAGCCCUGGAGUGUGUCGUCCCUCUCAGCCCUGCUCCUCCUGCCUCCUGGGGUCCAGUGACUGGGACCCUACUCUAGAACUGUGUACCAUCCAAUUCGCCAUCAUAAAGGAAUCUUCCUGCA